rnacentral:rRNA from 1 species
AUUGAACGCUGGCGGCAGGCCUAACACAUGCAAGUCGAGCGGCUGAAGGGAGCUUGCCCCUGGAUUCAGCGGCGGACGGGUGAGUAAUGCCCAUGAAUCUGCCUGGUAGUGGGGGAUAACGUCCGGAAACGGGCGCUAUUAUCGCACACGCCCUGUGGGAGAAAGUGGGGGAUCCUCGGACCUCACGCUAUCAGAUGAGCCUAGGUCGGAUUAGCUAGUUGGUGGGGUAAAGGCCUACCAAGGCGACGAUCCGUAGCUGGUCUGAGAGGAUGAGCAGUCACACUGGAACUGAGACACGGUCCAGACUCCUACGGGAGGCAGCAGUGGGGAAUAUUGGACAAUGGGCGAAAGCCUGAUCCAGCCAUGCCGCGUGUGUGAAGAAGGUCUUCGGGUUGUAAAGCACUUUAAGUUGGGAAGAAGGGCAGUGAGUUAAUACCUUGCUGGUUUGACGGUACCGGCAGAAUAAGCACCGGCUAACUACGUG